GAAAUUGCAGUGCCUUAAGCCAUUGCUGUGGGGUGUCUGUCAAAGGAAGGAAUGAAACUUGUGUAUGUUUAAACUCUUCUCUUGGCAACAAAACAAUAUCUGGUGGAAAAUGACUUCAUGGAGGACAACAAGACGCUCGUCUAAUGGGAAUGGGCGGUCUUCCAAUGGGGAAGAUGUCAAUGGAAGCGGCCGCCUUGGUGGCUGCAGCUACCUCUCUAAUGUGAGGCCAGAAAACAGGUACAGAAUCCAGACUAACUCAGGGUGCUGUCCUUCCACUUGAACCAUCUCUGCUGGGAACAUGCAGAGCACACUCUGCAGUGUGAUUGCUCAUUUAACUGAAGAAACACAGCCGUCCUUUGAAGCUACCCUGAAGUCAAAAGCUGUGUCCGAAAAUUCAAACGUGAAGUUUUCCUGUGUGGU